UACGUAGGGCGCAAGCGUUGUCCGGAAUUAUUGGGCGUAAAGAGCUCGUAGGCGGCUUGUCACGUCGGAUGUGAAAGCCCGGGGCUUAACCCCGGGUCUGCAUUCGAUACGGGCAGGCUAGAGUUCGGUAGGGGAGAUCGGAAUUCCUGGUGUAGCAGUGAAAUGCGUAGAUAUCAAGUGGAACACCAGUGGCGAAGGCGAGUCCCUGGAAAACUCCUGACACUGAGGCACGAAAGCUAGGGGAGCAAACAGG
rnacentral:rRNA from 1 species